AUGCAAGUCGAGGGGCAGCAUGAUUGAAGCUCGCUUCAAUUGAUGGCGACCGGCGCACGGGUGAGUAACGCGUAUCCAACCUUCCGUACACUCAGGGAUAGCCUUUCGAAAGAAAGAUUAAUACCUGAUGGUAUGAUGAGAUUGCAUGAUAUCAUCAUUAAAGAUUCAUCGGUGUACGAUGGGGAUGCGUUCCAUUAGGUAGUAGGCGGGGUAACGGCCCACCUAGCCGACGAUGGAUAGGGGUUCUGAGAGGAAGGUCCCCCACAUUGGAACUGAGACACGGUCCAAACUCCUACGGGAGGCAGCAGUGAGGAAUAUUGGUCAAUGGACGAGAGUCUGAACCAGCCAAGUAGCGUGAAGGAUGAAGGUCCUACGGAUUGUAAACUUCUUUUAUAAGGGAAUAAAACCUCCCACGUGUGGGAGCUUGUAUGUACCUUAUGAAUAAGCAUCGGCUAACUCCGUGCCAGCAGCCGCGGUAAUACGGAGGAUGCGAGCGUUAUCCGGAUUUAUUGGGUUUAAAGGGAGCGCAGACGGGUCGUUAAGUCAGCUGUGAAAGUUUGGGGCUCAACCUUAAAAUUGCAGUUGAUACUGGCGUCCUUGAGUGCGGUUGAGGUGUGCGGAAUUCGUGGUGUAGCGGUGAAAUGCUUAGAUAUCACGAAGAACUCCGAUUGCGAAGGCAGCACACUAAGCCGUAACUGACGUUCAUGCUCGAAAGUGUGGGUAUCAAACAGGAUUAGAUACCCUGGUAGUCCACACGGUAAACGAUGGAUACUCGCUGUUGGCGAUAUACUGUCAGCGGCUUAGCGAAAGCGUUAAGUAUCCCACCUGGGGAGUACGCC
rnacentral:rRNA from 1 species